CCUACGGGGGGCUGCAGUGAGGAAUCUUCCGCAAUGGGCGAAAGCCUGACGGAGCGACGCCGCGUGGAUGAAGAAGGCCGAAAGGUUGUAAAAUCCUUUUCUUGAUGAAGAAUAAGGGCGGGAGGGAAUGCCUGUCUGAUGACGUUAGUCAAGGAAUAAGCCCCGGCUAAUUACGUGCCAGCAGCCGCGGUAACACGUAAGGGGCGAGCGUUGUUCGGAUUUAUUGGGCGUAAAGGGCGUGUAGGCGGUUGUCCAAGCCUGGUGUGAAAGGCUCCGGCUUAACCGGGGUUAGGCGCUGGGAACUGGAUGACUGGAGUUCAGGAGGGGAAGCUGGAAUUCCUGGUGUAGGGGUGAAAUCUGUAGAUAUCAGGAAGAACACCGGUGGCGAAGGCGAGCUUCUGGCCAUGUACUGACGCUGAGGCGCGAAAGCGUGGGGAGCGAACAGGCUUAGAUACCCUGGUAGUC
rnacentral:rRNA from 1 species